rnacentral:rRNA from 1 species
UACGUAGGGUGCAAGCGUUGUCCGGAAUUAUUGGGCGUAAAGAGCUCGUAGGCGGUUUGUCGCGUCUGCUGUGAAAACUCGGGGCUUAACUCCGGGCCUGCAGUGGGUACGGGCAGACUAGAGUGCGGUAGGGGAGACUGGAAUUCCUGGUGUAGCGGUGAAAUGCGCAGAUAUCAGGAGGAACACCGAUGGCGAAGGCAGGUCUCUGGGCCAUAACUGACGCUGAGAAGCGAAAGCAUGGGGAGCGAACAGG